GUCAGCAUGGCUUAGGGGCUUGAGUGCCAGACUACAACUCUGGAAGCCAGGGUUUGAUUCUCGCUUGGCCACA